rnacentral:rRNA from 1 species
UAUUUGGUCGUAGACCCGAAACCAGGUGAUCUACCCUUGGUCAGGUUGAAGUUCAGGUAACACUGAAUGGAGGACCGAACCGACUUACGUUGAAAAGUGAGCGGAUGAACUGAGGGUAGCGGAGAAAUUCCAAUCGAACCUGGAGAUAGCUGGUUCUCUCCGAAAUAGCUUUAGGGCUAGCCUCAAGUGAUGAUUAUUGGAGGUAGAGCACUGUUUGGACGAGGGGCCCCUCUCGGGUUACCGAAUUCAGACAAACUCCGAAUGCCAAUUAAUUUAACUUGGGAGUCAGAACAUGGGUGAUAAGGUCCGUGUUCGAAAGGGAAACAGCCCAGACCACCAGCUAAGGUCCCAAAAUAUAUGUUAAGUGGAAAAGGAUGUGGCGUUGCCCAGACAACUAGGAUGUUGGCUUAGAAGCAGCCAUCAUUUAAAGAGUGCGUAAUAGCUCACUAGUC